GCCACCUGAGGGUGGCAGCAGCAGUUUAGGUCCAAGAGUUCCCGAACAUUUGCUGCGCUGGUGGAGGUCGACAGUGUAGUGGGCGUCACAAAAACCUGUGCCCGUGCCUGGAGACACCAGAGUCCUCAGCGGCAGACACAGGAGCAGAGAGCCAGAGUCCCAAGAGAUGAACAAGGCGGGAAGACAGAUGAAGUCCCUAGUGGGAGAGACGCCAAAGUCGUCCUCCAGCCUCCAUGAGUGAAGCGCCAUCGCUGCCCUUGGCUCUCAUGACUCACAUCCCAGCUGCCGGGAUGACAAGCGUGCACAGCCAGACCCAGUCGGGGACAAACUCCAGGGUUUGUGUUUCUCACCUCAAAUGUGUACCAAUAUCCCAAGACACAUCCAUGUGAACUUUAGAGAAACUGAUGAUGCUCAUCUUUGUAUAUGCCAACCAUUAAAGAACCCUAAAUAAACGAACCCUCAACUGCUCUUUUAGAAUAUACUUCUUAGCCACAUGGUAGCACAGGCCUGUAACCUGAGCACUCGGAAGGUGGAGGCAGGAGGUCAAGGGAUUGAGGCCAGCCUGAAUUCCGGGUCAGCCCUCAUAGAAAAGUAUCUCAGUUUGGCCACACCUCCACCCUCUUAGAAACAGGAUCUCAAUGUUAUGGUCCGGGCUAGUUGGGAAUUCACUACAUAGACCAGGCUGGCCUCAAACUCAGAGACCUGCCUGCCUCUACUUCUGCUGGGCACAA